CUGGUGUGUGGUACUUCAUUGAAAGUUGCAACUUAAUACUAGUUGUAGGAGAACAACUAUAGUGUAUGGAUCUGCUUAUGUCUCUACUUCGCUUGAUUCUCAUGCCAGUGGACUUCAUGCUCUGUUUUUGGCCUUAUUAGCUUGACUCAUGUAACGACAAGCUAGACCGAAGCUCAACCAUAGUUGGUUUUGGUCGUUGAAGCUUUCUUUGUUGCUUUCAGGGUAUUUUGAAAUAGAUUUAGAAGUUAAAAACGUCAUAUAUUUUGAUCUUAUUUUCCUCUUCACUACGUUAUAGGGCAAGAUCCCUUAUCUAUUGGAUGUGGGAACCUUUUUAUUGUAGGAGAUAAUCGGAGAGAGAAAAGUCUUCCUAUCAAUUCCUUUUGAAUAAGGCUACGCUCCUUCAAGCCUUUGAAACUAUUGAAAAUAGAAUCUUUGUUUUCAGGCGGGUUUUCUUCUCCACCAACAACCAAGACGCAUGAAAGCGGUUUCCAGCGCUGCUGGGCAGAAAGACAUGAUGGCAUGAAACUCGAUUACGUACGCUGAUUGUUCGUCCACUUCAAACGCUCAAAACAGACCAUUUCCUGUGUGAUAGAACUCCGGUCCUGCAACUCCUUCCCUUGAUAGCCUUGAGUUGUUGGUUACACCGCACCGGAAAAGCACUCUCUGGGAAAUCCGGAUCUUUCUCAGCAGGGACAGUACCAAGGAUAUCAGGGUUAGAUAGCUUUUUUUUCUCUGGCAGUCUAAAAUCUUUCCAAUCAAUCGGGAAAGCCUAUACCCGAAAGAGGGAAACCUUCUGUUUGCUUGCCAUUAUCAUUCUCUAGCACAAUCUCAUUGCUCCAAUGUAACGUAAACUAAUCCGUGUCUUCCUUCACUGUUAGAAGAUUAAAAAAAUAGACGAAUGGAGAUGAAUUAAA
rnacentral:lncRNA from 1 species